rnacentral:rRNA from 1 species
UACGGGGGGGCGAAGCGUUGUUCGGAAUUACUGGGCGUAAAGGGCGCGUAGGCGGCCCGCUAAGUCGAACGUGAAAUCCCCGAGCUCAACUCGGGAACUGCGUCCGAUACUGGCGGGCUUGAAUCCGGGAGAGGGAUGCGGAAUUCCAGGUGUAGCGGUGAAAUGCGUAGAUAUCUGGAGGAACACCGGUGGCGAAGGCGGCAUCCUGGACCGGCAUUGACGCUGAGGCGCGAAAGCUAGGGGAGCAAACGGG